GCUCUCGUAGUGUAGUGGUUAUCACGUCUGCUUAACACGCAGAAGGUCCCAGGUUCGAGCCCUGGCGAAAGCA
rnacentral:tRNA from 1 species